rnacentral:rRNA from 1 species
AUAUUAAAGUUGUUGCAGUUAAAAAGCUCGUAGUUGAACUUCAGCCCUGGCCGGGCGGUCUGCCUCACGGUAUGUACUGUUUGGUUGGGGCUUACCUUCUGGUGAGCUUGCAUGCCGUUUAUUCGGUGUGUGAGGGAACCAGGACUUUUACUUUGAGAAAAUUAGAGUGUUCAAAGCAGGCAAAUGCCCGAAUACAUUAGCAUGGAAUAAUGGAAUAGGACGUGCGGUUCUAUUUUGUUGGUUUCUAGAGUCGCCGUAAUGAUUAAUAGGGACAGUUGGGGGCAUUAGUAUUGAGUUGCUUU